GGUUGGAUCAUUAAAGCUCGACUUACCUUAAGCAAGUAGGUCGUUAAACUAAACCAAAAACGUGUGAUUGUUCUAUUGGCGUCACAGCCGAAAGCCUUGGGGGGCUGAGCACCCCCCUUGGUAAGUAACCUGUGACAGUUGUCUCGACUUUGAUUCUGAGCUCACGUGGCAGAGAGGAAGGUCCACCCCCCCCAAGCCCUAUGGGCGAAGGCUGGGGGGACCCGACUCGAUGUUCACAACAAACUUUAAUAACCAUCGGCGGUGGAUGUCUAGGCUAUCAGUUCGAUGACGAGCGCAGCAAAAUGCGAUAACUAGUGUGAAUUGCAGAGUCCGCGAAUCAUCGAGUUCUUGAACGCACUGCGGCAGAGGACUUCGGUCCUCAGCCAUACCUCAUUCAGCGGGUAGUACCAACUGACUUCGUGUCGAGAGACUUAGGCGGGGACUAUAUAGCUGGCCGACCACCGAGACCUUAGGGUCGAGGCGGGAGGCUAGUGUCCCCUCUUCAAGUCAAAGUCCAACCCCUUAACCUGGUGUUCUCGACUCCCCAACAGGAGAAGGUCCUAUGAUAACUUCCUAUCGGGGCGAUCACCACACGCUGACUCUCGAGUCUAAGUGUGAGUCGCUCACGGAUGCUCUGGGUACCCGACACUUGAAGCGGAGAACAAGAGAUACCAGUAACCUACUCAUGCCCCUGAAGUGAGGUAAGACGACCCCGGGGAUUUAAGCAUAUCAAUACCGGGAGGAAAAGAAACUAACUAGGAUUCCCUUAGUAACUGCGAGUGAAGAGGGAAGAGCCCAAGCUGAAUCUGUCUGGCUGCGGCCUGAUCGAAUUGUAGUUUUGUGAACGAGUCCUGGCUUGUGGGUACCUUAAGUCUUCCUGGAAAGGAGCGCCAUAGAGGGUGAUAGCCCCGUUGGGUAUUCCAUAGGCCGUCAAGGUCUUAGUUCGGAGAGUCGUACUCCUUGAGAUCGGAGUGCUAAUCUGGGUGGUAAACUCCAUCUAAGGCUAAAUAUUGGCUGGUAGACCGAUAGUGCACAAGUACCGUGAGGGAAAGAUGCAAAGAACUCUGGAGAGAGAGUUAAAAGUACCUGAAACCGCCGUUGGGGAAGCGGUUGGCUGUAGUCGUUCGGUGUCUUGGUUCACUUGGGGGAAGUAUGGAUGAGGUCGCUUGGACGGGGUGUAAGCCCUGCCUUCGGCUAGAGUCCUGAGGUAACCCAAGGUACUCCAAGGCAUUGACCAGUAGGGGCUGAACAGGGGGGUAAAUAGGGUGUCGGGGAAAGCAGGUCCGCCUGCCAUACCCGGUGUCUGAAGACUCCUCUCUCGGCCCACUAAUGUCUUGAUGGGGGGGCCGUAAGGCGAGGGAAUACUUAGCCUAGGGUGGGUUGCUCUCGUAACUGCUUGCAGGUGCGGGGGUCGCUAUCUUAGGCUGGGGGCUACCUCACCUCCCACAUGCUACUGGAGGCGAAGUCAACUGUCCCGUCUUGAAACACGGACCAAGGAGUCUAACGUCCCGCCGAGUCGAAGGGUGGUAAACCCCUAGGCGAAGCGAAAGCAAAGGGAAUCAAGCUGGCAUUAGCUGGCCGCAAUUCCGUUCUCCCGGGGGGCUUGCUCUCCGGUGGGAAAAGGAGGCGGUACGUUAGGACCCGAAAGAGGGCGAACUAUGCUUGUGUAGGUCGAAGCCAGAAGAAAUUCUGGUGGAAGGUCGUAGCGAUACUGACGUGCAAAUCGUUCGUCAAACAUGGGUAUAGCGGCGAAAGACUAAUCGAGCCCUCUAGUAGCUGGUUCCUCC
rnacentral:misc_RNA from 1 species